AGUGCUGCUGGGAGAUAAUGUUUUGCUGUUACAGAUAGUGUCCAAGGGAGAGCCAGAUGAUUUCAUUUUGUACCUAAAUUAAUGAUAUUCCGAGUGCUAAACUGGAUUAUACACUCUACCAUUUAUAGCUGUGUAUAGAACAACUUUACAGACAGCUUUGAUACAAAAAACUCUCCCCUGAGUCGAAACUUCUAACUAAAUCUUUACACUCUUCCAAAGAGUGCUCAGGUCCUUACAUUUUGGUAAAAUAUUAGAAUCUUAUAUGACCAUCACAUACUAUGUCUUCAUUCAUUUUGUAAAGUACUAUAUACAUGGCCAAUUGUUGAUUCCAUUUUGAACAGAAUUGAUCUCACAGUGAUAUAACUUGUGUGGUAGUAUUAAAUGGACAAUUUCCAUUACUUAAUGAUGCAUUGUUUCUACCCACUGCCAGUUUCCUGUACUUACACAUUAUUUAUAUCAAAAUAUGAUUAUCUUUUCAGUUGGUAUUUUGGUAGUAACUUAAACCCCACAUGUAUGGUUUAAGUUGGUAUUAGACCAAUUAAUUCCUGUGAGAUAUCUUUUGCUUUGACUUCAGUAUUUGACCUACAUUGAGUGACAUGUGCACAAACCCUGACUCAACACCUCUAGCAGACUUUCAAUAAGUCCAGUGAGGAAAUUUGCAAUUCAGAUUGAUUCUGCAGAGGUGCUUUCACUCACUGGAGAGCCGACCCCAGCCGCUGACGUAGCAGGGGGCACCGUGGGGCAGGACCACGCCUCGGGCUGGGAGGCAGGCGGGCAUGAUGGUGUCAGAGAAGGUGACGGGGGAAGACAGCUUGAUAAGGGCGAUGUCGUUACUGCCGAAGACAAACAACACACUCACAGUGAAGAAGUAAUGACAACAAAUCGAUGGUUUGCUGCGUCAACAGUGAACUGAUACUCUGCUAACACAUGGCGUCCUGCUGAUUCUGCUCUUCACCAGGACUCCUUAGGUGUUAUUGAGCUGUUUGAGUGUGUGUUACCGGCUGAGCAUGGUGUUGUAAUCCUCGUGACUGAUAAUUGUGGCUGCCCUGCGAGCUAUCGAGCCCUCCUCGCUGGACCGCAGGCUGUGUUUACCCAGCUCCACUCUGUAGUUGUAGCGGUCACUGUGGGAUGGCAGAUGACACGCGGUUCAGACACAAGUAUUGACUUUCCCGCCUGUGUGGACAACACUGUGUUUAAGCCGAUAGUGUACUGCAAAUGUUUGGUAGUCCUGUAGAGGUAAUGCGUGGAGACCAAGCUGUUUUUAAAAGAUAAAAUGGUAAUAUUGUGGUUAUCCUUUUUUAUUAAGAUACUAAUGAAUACUUUACUGUCAAGAAAGACUUCUUGAACUCCUCUAAAUACUGUUCUCUUCUUUCUUUGGUCCAGGCAUGGUGGCCCUGCUGUUUACUGGAAUACUCUGGUUUUCUUGUCAAUUCCAAAACCAACAUCUCUCACAGUACCGAAAAAUGCUUAACUCCUAAUCUCCUGUAGGGCUGAAGAGUUUUACUGGCACAGAUCUUUGGUUCGGCAUAAAUGCUAUUUUUGAACUGGGGAUCCAAAAACACUAGAGUUUAAGUGAAUUAUGAUUAGUAGGGACUGUUCUAAAUUGUAUACAACUAUCACAGGUUAUCAAUUCAACAAAUUAGAAAACUUUAAAAUUAUCAUUUGUAUAUCAAUGACACACUGUGUUACUCAAAUUCUCGAGGAAAACGUGUUAUUUCUGCAAGCCUUCACAAUGAUUGAAGAAUUUAAAAACAAUAAAAUGAAUUGAAGUAAAUGGGAGCUGUGUUCAACAGCAAAACUAUAUCCAAACAUCUCACAGAACACAUGCAAUAUAAACUUUAUUUGUCAGCUGUAUGCUUAAUACUUCCAAACCCAUACAUUUUCACCAAAACUUUGCUAUUUUAAACACUUGUGCAUUUCUCGUACUGUGCACGCUAUUCAUCCCUGCGAGUCUGGGACCAGUCUGAAAGUUUUUCUAACUGUUGAUGUUUUAGCAAAAAUGCAUGUGUUUAGAAAGUGUUAAGACUUGCAUGAGAGUGCACAAGUUGUAUAAAAGUUUGUAAACAGAUGUUUUGAAGUCAUUUUCCUGUUGUCGAACAGGGCCAUCUUUUAUUUCCAUUCAUCAAGACUUUGCUCUAUUUUUGGAUUCUUCGUUUACAGUGGAGGAGAGAAACCAACAUUUUUUUCCUCAAGGAUACAGACUAACAUGGGGGUAAGUUUGACAUACUUGAAGCAGUGUGCAGCAGUGAGGACCCAGUCAGAUGAGAUGAGGGUGCCUCCACAGACGUGCCUCCAGCGCCCACUGCUGUCCGACUGAAGAGAGAUCUGAGCACAGCAGAGAGAAGACAAGGCCAGCUGUGAGGCCUGGCAUCCUCUCCUGCCACCACCCUGGUCAGCACAGGAGGGAAGAUGGGGAGGCCACAUCCGUAGGCUGGGACAAGG